rnacentral:rRNA from 1 species
UAUUUAUUAGAUAACAGACCAAUAUUCCUCGUGUCUAUUGUGGUGACUCAUAGUAACUGAUCGGAUCGCAUGGCCUUGUGCCGCGACUAACCAUUCAAGUUUCUGACCCAUCAGCUUUCGAUGGUAGUGUAUUGGACUACCAUGGCUUUCGCGGGUAACGGAGGAUUAGGGUUCGAUUCCGGGGAGGGAGCCUGAGAAACGGCUACCACAUCUAAGGAAGGCAGCAGGCGCGUAAAUUACCCAAUCCUGACUCAGGGAGGUAGUGACAAGAAAUAACGGGUCGGGGCAUUCGCCUCGGGAUUGCAAUGAAUCGAAUUUACACCCCUUAAUGAGGAUCAAUUGGAGGGCAAGUCUGGUGCCAGCAGCCGCGGUAAUUCCAGCUCCAAUAGCGUAUAUUAAAGUUGUUGCAGUUAAAAAGCUCGUAGUUUGAUUUCUGGACGGGCGCCAACACCCGCUUGUUUAGUGUGGAGGCGGCGCCCGCCCAUCCUUCUGUUAACGCCACCGGCAUUCGUUUGCUGGCGGCGGGCUCAGAUAUUUUACCUUGAGAAAAUUAGAGUGUUUCAGGCAGGCUUGCGC